UUACGGCCAUAUCACGUUGAAAAUAUUGGUUCUCGUCUGAUCACCCGUGUUAAGCAACGUCGAGCCUGGUCAGUAGCUAGAUGGGUGAUCGUUUGUGAAUACCAGAUACUGUAAG